GUUUCUACAUUCGCUAAAAUUAUUUUAUUUGAACCGUUACGACCAAGUUCUGGCUAUAGUUUACCCUUUGUUCAAAGCCGAGUAAUUGAAAAACAUAGAAACGGAAAUCACAACGAAGAGGGUUCCCGCAGUUAAACCCAUUCCGGAACCGGUUCGAAAUUCUGAGGUCUGAGUUAAACCCAUUUCGGAACCGGUUCGAAAUUCUGAAUGCAGUUAGUAAGGAUUCCUACUCAAAUACACCAGUCAUCGCCAUCAAGACCAUCCUCUGAAGAUGGUUUAACUUUGAUUGAAUUGUCAUGAGUUCUCCCUUCUGCCACCAAACAAAGCACCCGUAUGCCAGUAUUGGUCUAACAAUUGUUGUGUAGAUCCACGGAAUGUACUUGGGUUUGAGUCCCCAAGAUUUGUCGAAAGCCCGUUUACAUUGGCCGAAGGCCAUGCAAGCUAUCUUGAUCCUGAAAUCGAUGUGAGCUGUCCAAUCAAGUUUUGAGUCAAGAAUUACCCCAACGUACUUAACUUGAUCGGUAACGGUUGUAAUCCUUCGUUUCGUGAAAAGCACCAUUGAUGUUUUAUUUGGAUUAACUGAUAGCCCAACCCAUUGCUCAACAACACAUAAGGCUUGUUGUAUCAAAUCAAAAAGUGUGUUAAUGCAAAUACCGGUGAUCAUUAUAUGAUAAUCAUCGGCGAAACCAUACGUCGGAAACCCAAGCACAUUAUGUUUCCUCAACAAGCCAUUGGCGACAAGGUUCCAUAGAAGUGGUGACAGCACACCACCUUGAUGACAUUCGCAGACACUCAGUUUCCUUAUCUCUACUUGUUUUAACUAUGAGCACAGAUGUCGGUUACUAAGCAUUGCGUGUAUCCAGUUCGUGAUAUAUGAAGGUAUUCCAUGACCCCGUGCUGCUUCCGAAAUGUAUUCGAAAGACACGUUGUCAAAAGCACGUUCAAUAUCGAGAAAAAACUCCUAAAUUUGAUUGCUUUUGUGAAAAAGCUUUUUCAAUGUUGUAGACAACAUUGUGUAACAGGGUGGUAGUAGACUUCCCCCGCUGAUAUGCAUGUUGCAUUGCAUGUAGUGCGUGCUCGCCCAUGCUAACAUCUCGAAUGUAGUGUUCGAAUAAACGUUCCACUGAUUUGAUAAGGAAGGAGGUCAGACUGAUCGCUCUGAAGCUCUUUGCCUCCUCAUAAGUGACGCGGCCACCUUUGGGAAUGAAUUUAACAGUUAUUUCCCGCCACACUAAUGAAAAGUACCCGGUUGCAAUACUACAAGUAAGAACUUUUUUCAAAAUAUGAUUGAAGUGUUCAUAUCCCUUUUGUAGAAGAACUGGAACGAUUCAACUUUCAAUCGCCCAUUUGAUCAAUUCGGUUGUCACAAUUCUAUGAGCAAAUGCGCAAGAAUCAGAACUACCUGAAAAGAACUCAGGGGCAGUUGUCAGUGAUGACUCCGUACAGCCUGGAAAGUGUGUGUCAAAAAGACAGUUGAGUACUACAUCUUCAUCAUACGAGUAUUCACCAUCAGCAGUUCUAAUCGAACUGACACGAAAGUCUUCCGAUUUCGAAAGUAACUUAUUUAAUCUACUAGUCGCGUUGAGAUUUGAGACAUUUGAGCACCAGCUUUUACUACCACUUCGCUCAGAGGAUCGAAGGGCAUUUCUGUAUGCUUUACGAGUCAACUUAAAUGCCUCAAGCCCGUCCCUACGUCUGCGAUUCCAAGCUCUUCUACAUAACUUUUUGAGUCGAACAAGUUCGGUAUUCCAUUAAGGCUUUCCUCUAGAAGCACGCAUAACUCGAAGCGGACGAGCUUCUUGGUAUGUUGCUACUAUGAGUGAGCUUGUUUUAUCCACGACCUCAUCCAAAUCACUUGUAGAUUCAAUCGUCGGAAGAUAUCCAUGAAACCUAGUCGCCAAGCCCUCUUCGUAGAGGUCACAGUUCGUAGAUUUAGGAAUACGAUAUGUGACGAUAUCUAGCGAGACGUUUAAAUCAUCAAAGACGAUGUACUUAUGAUCAGAUAACGACGGUUCUAGCUCGUUUGGUACGAGCCAGUUUUCCAACUCAUGCGUAAUACCGUCAGAGCAAAGAGUUACAUCUAACACCUCUUCUCUGCCAUCUAGUGCAAAUGUUGGGCGGUUUCCUGCAUUAAGAAUGUGCAGAUUUGUAAUACUUAAGUAUUUCAUUAAUUCGGUGGCUCUCAAAUUAAUAUCUGAGCUGCCCCAAAUUAUGUGGUGGGCAUUUGCAUAACUGCCGAUUAUGAGAGGAAACCCAUUUCUGCCACAGUAUGAUACUACCCUUUUGAAAUCAUCAGAAGGUGAUGGUUAAUUAUGCGGCAAAUAUGCCGAACAAUACACAUAUUUGUUGUUUAUGUUGUCAACAGUCAUAUUUACCGUGACAGCACAAAUAUCGCGAGUUGUGAGAAUAGGGCCCGAGAUAUAAGACAUGCGUCAAUAGCACUAUUCGCAAGUAUACAUGCACGAGGCAUUUCACGUGGAUUUGUCAUGCCAUUUUUGUUGAAAGCUACGAAGACGGGGUUAAGUAGCUGUCCAAUAUAGAAGUUUCCUUUAUGGAAAUAUGGUUCUUGAAUCAAAGCUAUGGAAGCUUUUCCUUCCUGCACAAGGCGGGAUAGAUUCAUAGUUGCUGUACGUUUAUGCUGAAGAUUAAUUUGUGCUACUCUAAUCAUAUCAUAUCAUAUCAUCGGACCCUAUAACUGAACUUCAUGGAAUUUCUGAACGGUAAUGUGACCGAAUCGAUGGGCUCGGGUUAUUCUAAUCUGAGAAGUCCGAAAUAGUAUUAUCAAACAUCAGUACACUGACGAAGUGGAUGAAAAAAUAUUGGGAUAUUAUGUGAAACUAGAUAUUCAUAUUUGUAUGGUGCAAAAUUUUUGUUCGCGGUUCAAUAAAUCUCUAUAAAUUAUAUUUUGUAGGGCAUUACUGAAUGCGACUUCGAAAACUUUGAACAUGUUCGAGUAAGUUGUUAGGAUAUCUAUGUCGAGUUAUUCAACCAAUCUAGAGCCAGCUAUUUCUUCUGGAAUCAGGUUUUUGAGACUCUGGAAUGUUUAGUGACAAUAAAUGAAAAACUGAAUAGCCUGAUUCGUAUGACCCUGGGUAGCGUCAGAAUAGUCAAAGAUAAACCCUACUUAGAGGCAGAUAACUUGUGAUGCAUUUCUAAAAAUCAAUGAAAUGAAAUGCAUUUUUUCCAUCAAAUCAAACAUUCAGUAUGCAUUUUGCGUUGCGUGUAAUACGUCGACGUCCUACAGGAAACUAAGUCCAACCAAACAUCCCACUGAGACGUCCAAAAAAUUGUUUCAAAAUCGUUCAAAACGGGUCCAACGAUGGACGUUUGUUGAACGGUUAUUUGGACGUUGUCCAAAUUGGUCCAACGAACGUCCUUCAUUGGACGAUUUUAAAACCAACCGUUCUUAGAGGGAUCGAACGUAAUGGAACGGCGCACAGUGUUUUAAAACGUCGUUUUCGUGCUGCAAAUUAAUAGCGUCUAAAUCGUUAACUUUAGAAGUAUAGUUUGUUCGGAGAAGUUGUUGUCCGUAUGAUUUCGCAUCCACAGGAGUAAAUCGUUUAGUGAAUAAUCCACCUAUAAGUGAUAUACAAAAUUUAUCUUCUGAACUAAUCAAUAUAGAGGCUUUGUGUCUUCAGCAAAGUUGUAGCAAAUGUUACUACAAAAGAUCUUUCUGAAUACACCAUAUAUCUAGCUUUAAUAGUUUGCAAGUUAUGGAACAUAUUAUAUGGAAGACCCCUUAAAAUUAGUUUUUCAUAACUUUUUUAGACAUUCUCCCACCUUCUUGGAAUCUUCCACAAAGUUGUUUGCAGUAUCGAACACACAUAUUAUUGCCGAAUAUAGUUACUUCCUAUCUGUUGAAUUUAAAAAGAUAUUCCAAAUUUGGCAUCCACGCCGUCAUAAGGGCAACAACUUCUCCGAACAUUUGUUAAACAGGCUUCUCUGCGAGGGAGUGCAAAGUUGAUGCAAAAAUGGAAAUUAAAUGAAUUUUGCCAAAUUUGAUGAUUCAUGGAGUGAUCUGCCAUCCGACGUUAGAUGUUUUUCAAGAGUGCUCGAAAGCGCGAUGUCAAGAUCUGGUGUGCAAAGGAACGGCAGUAUCAUAACGAGAUCUCACUUUUUUUUGGCUUCCGGGCAGCGUAGAUACCAUUGGAGUUGAUCGUAGAGUAGUGAAAGAGGCUUUUAUAAUUUUAAAAAAGAGAGGCUACCUAAAUAGGACUAUAAGCUCUAUAAAGCACAUGGUAGCUGAAAGAGAAUUUGGCACCACACCCGGUGUUUGUUUCAAGAUUCGACUUUUUCGAUCAAAAUUUGAACAACAUCAUAGGCCGAAAUCGUCAAGCAAAGAAACGAUGAUUGGAUUUCCAUUCGAAAUUUUUUUUAAAAAAAUGAGAUCUGUGGUGAAACCAUUGUUCGAAUAUGACAAAUACUAAAACCCGAAGGGUGCCGUACUAGUCACAGUUCCUCUGUGGAAUUACUAUGGACCAAGACAGAGGUCACAACCCAACUGUGUGACAAAAACUUGAUUCUGUGUCGAUAUGAACAAAUUGAAACAAAUGAGUAACAUUAAUUUUUAAUCCCUGGUUUAAUUCUCCGAUCCUUUAUGGGUUUUCGUUAUUUUCUCUUUUAUCUGUUUCGUCGGCCGUGCCACAUUCAAUUUUAUUGACAGGCUGAAUAAUCUAAUCCGAGCACGGCAAUAAUCAGCAUGAAAACGUAUUAAAUCGAAGCAUAUCAAAAUGCAAGAAAUCGAACUCGAGCGGCUAUAAUCGCCUCAAAGGGUCAAGCCACCAACGAUUGUGAAGUCAGAAGUGGACUGGAGGGGAUGGAAAAGAACCCAAAUUUUACACAUACACUUGCAACGACAGCUCAAAUAUCAAAUUGAGCAGACAUUUAUAAAAAAAAAAAUGCGAUCUCUUGGGACAAUUUCGGUUCUGAGAACCGUUUUGUUGUGCGCAUUUCAAUUCCCACCGGCAAGCGUGCAUUCGACCGUUCAUCGUUUGCUAUGAGAGGUGAGCAUGAUGCUAAAAGAAAUGGAGGGUGGUAAUCACUUUGAAUGUGUUUUCGAUAAAGUUGGUUAUGCUUGUAUAGACGGUGCAUGAGCGGACUAUUCCUUCCCCUAGUGUUUCAGUGGUUAAGAGUCAGAACCCUGUUUGCAUCAGAAUUUUCUACGUUUGUAACCGCAGAAUUCAUUUCGGCCGUUCCUUCCCAUUUGUCGAUUUCACAAUGUAAUUUAAUCUGAACAUUUGUGUGGUUUUCCUGCGCUUGAGCGAUUAGGUCGUCCACUGAAUUCUGAUUCAACGCACGCCGUACGAUGCGGCAACGCAGAGACUAACAAAAUAGCCGGAAAUCGGCAUUCGGAGUCAGAAAUCACUACCUAACAGAAGAACGCUUGAUUUGCGUGGGAUUGAAUAUUAUAAGAGAUGAGAUGUUUUUAUUCACACAUCUUCGAAGCUGUACCUGUUCAAAAUUUCUUGAUUAGACUCGAAGUAUUGGAGAUAUGGUUCAAUAAAAAUGACACUAUCCUAUGUGCAUGCAUGUUUAAAAUCGUCAUAGAUCAAUUGAUGUACCGCUGAUUACCUCAACUUGCAUGUAUGUGUGUGUGGGUGGGACGAAUCUCGUAAAAGCCAUUUUCGAUCCGACCUGUUUAUCGGUUUUUGGGUACCAUCCCACGGAUAGCCCAGGUAUAGCAAAACAGCAGCUGAUGCCGCUUUUACUGCGCCCAGCGUCGUUAAUUGCGCCGUCCUUUGUCUAAUUAUCAUCGAUUGGCUGUCGGAACGAACCCAGCGGGAUCGAAUAACACCAUAAGGUCGUCAUCAGAUUGUAUCCGCUGCUGGUGCGCUUCGCUUUGAUUCAUCUACCUGAGCGGCCGCCACUAUAUUGCUGGCUGAGAAUGUGUAUGGCUUCUGUUCCGUUUUUCCCAACGGGACAGCAAACCGAGAGGGAAGGGGUUUUUAUUGGAAAUCCUCUACCCAUGGCUAAUCAAUCUUGGUUGAUUUUAUUGCCCGUCGUUUCCUUCUUUUUUAUUUUCGUAUAAUGUACCUGUUGAUACAAAGAUCACACGACAUUCUUUGGUGCGGCAAAGGAGGUAUGUAUCACGAAUCUGAUGACCUAUGUAUUGGACAUGAUUGGGCCAACGUAAGUAAUUGCGUGAUACUCUUUUCAUUAAUUUGUUGGAAACGGAAAUUACGUUUCGAGGCUUGUUUUCAGCAUUUAUUCAAAGGAGAUUACACUGAAUUUUAAAUUUAUUGGAGUGAAUGAUUUCCAUUGUAUAAGAACAAUUCUAACAUGCAUGGUUAUAUCAAUAGAUUCCAAACCUACCUUUUAUCCCAGCUGCGCCCAAUUGAUAAUUUGUGGGAAAAUAUUUGAAGAAGAGUCUACUUGAAUAACUAAACAACGUAAGCAGGUUACGAAGAGCAGGUUACGUAAUUAUACCGCAGUUAUUUUUCGUAAAAUGCUCAUCAUCUCUAAGGAUGAGUGGACUUCGUCUAAUUAUGGCUCACGGAUGACAUCUAAUAAACGGAUAUGGCUUCAAUGUGAUAAAAUUCUCAUUUACCUGAUUGAAGUAAUUAACUUGAUGAAAGGCCAUAAAUUUGCGAUUUUUUGCACUACAUUUACUGCUGACAUUUAUUAUAAUUCGCACAGCCUACUACGACUAAUUGCUAUGAACCCUGGAGAUAAUUUAGAUUGGGUCGUAAGUAACAACGAGAGAUUCUUUUUGGGAUCUUUCUCUUCUAUUCAUUACUCGAUCGUUUCAACAUUUACUACUCAACUUUUGCAUAAUAUUCUAGCAAAAGCCGACGACUUACUGUACCGUACUGGAGAAUUAGUGCAGUGUUAUUGUGACGUCGUAAUAAUUGAAAGAGAAAGAAAACAAAGGUAGGCUGAACUAUACUUCAGUCAACAAAAAAAUAUACUUUUCACAAUUUUUUAAUUCGUGAUUAAUAAAAUAUCAAAUUCAUAAAAAAAAAUAUCAUAAAUUUGGUACAAUUUUAAUGUGAAAUGUUUUUGAAUCCAUUUUUUUUGUUUGAAGUAAUAAAAAAUAAACUAGCAAAUUUGAUAGCAUGCAUGCUCAAUUUGGGGCGGUCCUCUUAUGUAGUUGUGCGUAAAGUACCUAAUGUUCGAUAAUUUUUUUUUGAAGAAGCAGAAUGACUUAGACAUGUGUGCUAUUCUGCAAAAUGUUUAUUAAGGUUCCAUCUAUAAAAUAAAAAUUUCCGAGUGUAAGGUUUCAAAAAUGGCGUCCAAAAUGGUGGCUCCAGCGAAAGAUGUUUUGAAAACCGACCUCAUUUGCGGACAAGAUGCAGGUCGCAAUUCGUUGUCUACAAGCAGCAAACCAAAGCGAGGAUUACAUUCCGUAGAGGCGCCCCAACCUAAAAACAUGAAAAAAUCGAUAUAGAAACAAAAUGACUAGAAAAUAAAGUAUCGUUUUCUGUAUGAUUUUUCCACUUUGGCCGGCUGUAAAAAAUUGUUAAUGAUCAAAAUAUUGCGAUUUUAUAGGUUACAGCGGGCGAGAAUGUUGUUUUGUUUUAGUCGGGCAAAACCCGAAGUUGAUUGGUUGAAUGGGUCAAAAACGAGAAUGCACGCAGAUUCGAAAAAUCAUGUUCCGUGAAAGCCGCCAUUUUGGACGACAUUUUUGACAUCUUACGCUCGAAAUUUUUUAUUUUAUAGAUAAAACCUUAAUAAACAUUUUGCAGAAUAGCGAACAUGUCUAAGUCAUUAUACAAAAAAAAAUAUUAAACAUUAGUUACUUUUUGCCACAAUUAUAUAAGAGGAUCCCCUUAAUUGAUUACUCGGCCUACAAUCACUAAAUUGCGCAAUUAUUAAUUCUGCUUCAUUUCUGAAUCCAUCUAUCCUGGAUAAUGUCUGAAACAUAACCGGAGCAUCAUGACUGCAUUUAGGACCGGUAAUUAAAAUUUAAUAGCGGCCCUUACACGAUCAAUACAAUUGACAAUAAUUGAGAAUAUUGAUAGUAUAAUUCAAAAACACGAUCGUCAAAACAUCCCAUUAGGGUUCCAGUACCGACCCUUUGGAACGAGAACUAUUUCCACGGUACUGAUACCCUCAGUCCGCGGUAGUACCGUGAAAAUAUCGGUACUCGAUUUUUCCACCGUGAAAUUAAACGUUUUAUUGAACAAAUGUUGUAUGCUUUGCAAGUAUUCUGAUCCACAAAGCAUACUAAUUGUACCACUUACCUUGGAACAGUUCCCGAAGUUUAUGGCGCUUUUGAACUCAAGUAAUUUUUAGCGGUGCGACCUUCUUAGAAUUCGAAGUUGGCCGAUCCUAGAAACCCUAUUUUCAACAAAAGAUUAACGAACAAUCCUCAGUUUGCUAUACUAGAUUCCCUUUUUUACCACAUCACGAGCUCAAUUCAGCGAAAUUCACUGAACAGAGCGGUUUACAUGGUCCUCUCUUUUGCACUACAUGGCUCCUUCCUAGUGUACAACUACGUCGUCUAGUGGGCUAUUGCACUUUGAAAUCGUCAACAGAACACAAUUCACGCCACGCGAAUUGCAAAUCAAAAUGAAUUAUAUACUAAUUCGGAGAACGUUCUUUUAUACAUAAAGAUUAAGCAUACGUGACGCCACAAACUAAUUCUGUCGGUACACAGUAAAUAGUGGGAAAUAAUCAGAACUUCGCUUAUGAAACAUUCUCAAAAAGUAUGUUUUCUAUUAGUUUUCGUUCGUUGUAAAUACUUUGAAAUUUAAUACAAAACGCGGUUGUAAUUAUUUUCGACCAAAUAUGAAAUAUGUCUCUAUCAAAGAGUAAAACUGUGCGGUAUAUUUAUAUUUUUGUCAAACUUAGAAGAAUGGUACACACUUGUGGGAUAGUCCAAUUUGAUGUGAAAUGCGCAAUAGUUAGUUUUCAGCUAAGACAACACGUGACCAUCGGCUUCUUAUUUUUCCUUCGAUAUUCUACUUUUCGCGUAUUUUCACACUGUCGGAAUGCACCAAACAGUGUUGCUAUUUCCAUUAAUGAAAAUGGAUUCUUGUUAAUUUAUUUUAUGCCUGCAACAUUUUGUAUCUUCAAUCCACUAUGUUAAUAAAGGGCACUGUUUUUCUAUGUCAUGGGUGUUUAGUAAAGUUUGAUAAAGCCAUUUUCUGAAAAAUUUUAGAUUAUGGUUUGUUUGCUGUUAAAGUUAAUAAACCACGUAUUCGGCAAAUGUGUGGUAGAUACUUGUUUUACUUUGCCACCUAAUCCCUGUUCAUUUUAAUCAUUUUUACUCUUAACGAUAAUAACUUUAUUUGUCAAAAGUAAUGAUAAUAUUCUCCUAUAACGCUGCCAAACUUCACUUCGCUAUCCCUGCAGUAAUAUUGCGUACGCUGCAAAUUGUCAGAAUCAGCCAAUCAUACACUUUUCUACUGCUCAUGUACGUACACGCCAUAUGACACAAAUACUACAUCACAAGCUGGUGUAAAAUAAUAAACAAAGACGGCAAAAUUAAUUGGGAUUAUUUUCAACCAGGAAACUGCCUUAGUGUUGACCGGUCGUCGAAAACUCAAUGAGCUGGAACAUUCUGACGUAAAAUUGAAACAAAACUUACCCCAUCCCUCUAUUGUCAUGUAUUGUCUUAGGUUUUCAGUUCGUACCGUUCGAGUUUUCAAUUACACACCACAGCGAAAUCCAUAGAGAGUCUGACAGCACACAUAACUGAGCAAAUAGUUCUCUCUUCGCUCAAAUUUCCACAGUUCCUCAAAAACGAAGCAAUCGUUACCUUUGCCGUACAUGAGUUCAUCGCACUUUCAAAUUUUUGCUCCCUCCUCAGUAUGUCGUAUGCAAACAGGCCCGAUGAGAGGGGGUGGGGGGGGGGGAGCCGGGGCAAUUGCCCCUUGAAACAAGUCCUAGUUGGGGCCCUAAUUUUACGUGGAAGUAAAACUGAAUGGACGGAAGAUGGGCGACAAAUUCCGGUAUAUAUUAAAGAUCAAUAAUAAUUUCUUUGUAUUCAUUCGCAUUAUUAUGUUGAUGAAAGUGGUAAAAAAUUUGAAAGACAUUUUUAUUUAAUAACUUGAAAAUUUGACUCUUAUUGUGAGUUCAAUAAUUUUAUAUCAUAUUUCACGUUUGGUAAAAUUAACGUUCUUAAGGGAGUUGUCUACUUUACGAACAAGGCCAUGAAAACCGAGUUUUUUAUUGCUUGACAGAGAGCACACUACAAAAUAUUCCGAAGCCGAUUCAAAGUAUCUCCGAAGAUGGCAGUAGAGUAUCAAACAGGAAUGCGAAAGCACAGAUGAACGUAUCCGUCUUCUUUUACGUUCGCUUCUUCGCUUGUGGUACUGGUUGUUGGUUUGGAGACCCUGGGUGCGAUUGUUGUUGAGUUAAUAGUAGUUCCAGUCAGAUCGGUAGUUUUGUAGCCGUUUGUGGUUUGGCAUAAGAUAAUGAUGUGCUGUUUACGGUUGUAGUAGACGGAUUUCUCCCAGCUGUUCUACUGUGGGUGCAUGACCAGUGUUAACUGAUUAAACGUCCCAUUUUCGGUUGAUCGCCAUAAAAUUGUUACAUAUGAAGGAACUGGUUUGUUCUGAAGCAUUCACACCACACGAACAACGUUAGAACAUCCGAGAAAAUGAUCCUUGGAGUUUCAGCUGUUAUGGAAUCCACUUCUUCGUAUCAUGACAUAUUUUUUUUUUGAUCAAGAUGUCUAGAGUGCGCGGAGAUAAACCGUGUAAGCGACCUCUCUAGAACUGUAGGCUGUAUAUACGGGGAUGUUGUAGUUAACGGACAUUUAGUAAUUCCGAGUAGCUGGUCUUACAGAAAUCAAUAGCAACCCAAUUUGUCUGCAGUGGGGAUAGUUUUUGUCGUGUAUUUAUUGCGAAGCAGUUUUUAACUUCUACUCUUGGCGAGAUUAGAAGGCAGACUGAUCGUCUGGUGUAGUGGGUAAAAAAUCGAUUUUUUGCUUCGCUCAAUUGUUUGUAUUGACCUGUAGAUUAGUCUCGCAAAAUCUUGUUGGCCAGGCUGACCUUCUUUUGAUUGAAACAGCCAUGCGUUCCUCGCACGUAUUUGCUGUCACACACGAGGAUUUCAAUCUAUCGACAACUUUAAUAGCGUUUUUCUUGAAACUAAGGGCUAUUGUUGCAGUCUUCAAAAUCCAAACACACCCUUAAUCGAUAAUUAAAAUGGAUAUUUUUGUAUUUUUACAAGAAGUUUAAGUAAUUUUUACCCUAAAAAUGCAUUGUGUUAAGAUAGAACGAUGAUUUUGGGCCUCACUAAUGAUGCUUGUGACAUCUAUAAGAACCCAAUUGUUAUGUGCGAAAUAAAAAAAAACAAAUCAGUUCAAUUCAACCACCAGCAGUCGGUUGCCUGCUGUACUCGAGGUUGUUUUCUAAGUAUCUUAUUCCUUAUUACUGCGUUCUGUUAUUGUUGUCAAACCCUACAUAUUGUCACAGGCGCGUAACUAACUUCAAAUCCUGGCCAAAAUAGGAAAAAUGUUAUUUUUGUUUAUUUGUCCAUAUUUUCAACUUAAAUUGUUCUUCGAAACAUACUCUAACGUUUUGCUUAAAAAGAAAUGCGUUUUUGUUUGAUAAUUUUUGUAUGCAAUUAUUUGUAAGCAGUGAUUUUUUUACUCGUUUUAUUAGCUUGAUAGCCAUUAUCCCUUAAUUUUUCAUACUGCUCAAAAACUAAUUACCCAAAGUCAAUAUAUAAAUCAAAAUCCUGCUUUUCAUAGCAAACUCCAGCAACUACAAUCAAUUGGGGUCAAUUUUGGCUUUUCUUGGUAAUUUUUGGGUAGGUUUUAUAAAAGUGCUCACUUUUUUUAAUUUUCCACAUAUUCGUUAGUAAAAAAAGUACCUUGUCGGGCAAUGUCGGAUAAAUCUGUCAAAAGGGAAAGAUUAUUUGGAGUAUCCUCUCACUGUUCCACGAAGGAAACAUUCCCAAUUAAUCCCAUUCGGUUUUUUACAUCUAUUUGAAAAUGUCGUGUUUUUUGCUCAAAUUUAAGAGAAUACAAUUAAAAUAUCAGUGUUGGGGCUAUUUGAAAGAUCUUAUAUGAAAAGAACAAUUUGAGACGGCGGCGGUGGUUGAGUGGUAAGAGUGACCGCCACUCAUUCCAGUUGGUCUGGGUUCAAUUCCAGCCAAGGUCAUUGAGAUUUUUAUGAGGUGAAAAAAUAUGUGGUGACGUCUUCCUUCGGAAGGGAAGUAAAGCCGUUGGUCCCCGGUCCAUGAGUUGAUGGAUCGAUAUCUAGUCCAAAAGUGAAGUCACCUCUCUGGCGUCGGUAAAGAAGAAGUAGUAUUCAACUUCUAUACUUACAAACAAAUAUCCUCCUCCCGUGAUACUUGUGGAGUGCGCAGUAGUAUAUACGGCCUCUAGCAAAAGCAAGUAUCGGACUAGGGGUGGGCGUAGCGUAUUGGUAAAUCGAUUGCCUUGUACGCAGCGCACCUGGGUUCGAGUCCCCACCCCGCACAUAGGGUUAGAAAUUUUUCAUAAGAGAUUUUUCUAACCCGAAGAGGCGAAUGACCUUACGGUUAAAACCUCUAUAAUCGAAAUAAAAAAAAAAGUAUCGGACUAACCAUUCCUUCACUUUCUUCCCGCGAACUACGUUAGGGCCUGGUCGGCGCCGGUAUUGAUCAAUAAACAAUUUAGGAUUACUAGGAGUUGCACAUGUUUUGCUACUCCCAAGCAUUAUUAUCUACUUAUUCCCUGUGCAACUUCAGCUAGUCCAGAUCGAUAACGGAGUAGCGGCCAGGGGUGGUCGCACAAGCUCAAGCUUAUAUGACUAGAAUGAUUUGAUUAAGUCCCCCAUAUUAUUUUUGUAAGAUUGCGUUCAUUAACCAAAUUGAGCUAUUAUGGGCACGAUAGCCAUAUAAAAGAAUGUGAAAUAUAACUAACUAACUAACUAAUAAAUAUAAAUAAUUUCCCGACAUGAAUGCACCCUUUCGGUGUAAAAUGUCGUUAAUAAAAAAAAAAAAAAAAGAUAGCCAUAUAAAAGAGUGUGAAAUAUAACUUCCGCUAACCUUGUUAUAUGAAACGUAACGUACACAAGUUGCCUUGGAAACGUAAGCGAAGCAUCAAACAAAUUAUGCAAUCUUCUCAUUCCAGUUCCUUGUCUCCGGAUUGCAAGUGUUAAUGUGAAUAAUCCAGAUUGAAUACGAUAAUCACUUGGAUACAUUUCUAUUACCGAAUUUACAAAAACUUGAAUAUUUUUUCUACUAUAAGAAAACCAGAAAAGCAAAAUAAACAUAUGAACUUGAAACAAAAUGUUUUAAUUUAUGAAAACAGUUGAAACAGACUAAAUUUCAAUGCGAGGUUUCCUCAAACUGAUAUAUUACUCUAAAACACGUUUACAUUGAAAAAUAAUAAUGCUCGUGGAAUUCGUUUAUUUUCGUCUUUGUAUCACACUGCUAGGGGGUUUAAUAUUUUCAUAGUUUAGUAAAAAAUUGUCUAAAACCAUGAAAAACUAUUUUUCAUCACUUGUAAUCGUAUGAAAAAGCUUAAACACAUGUGAAAUAAUUUUGGCCAUGGGUUUGAUAUAGUUACGCCGUUACCGAAAAUUAUUUCGGUUUUUUUGGAUUCAAUGUUAGAUAAACUUAUGUAAAUUGACAUUCUUUUCGAUUUUAUAUUUUUAAACUAGAAUUUUGAGCUACUUCUGCUUCCUUCUCAUUUUCUUAAAACUGCUCCACCGAUACCAGCAAUUGAAUCCACCCGUGUGUCGCUUUGUCUACACUGCAGAAGCAAACUAUCUUGCUCCAACCUAUUGUAU